CACGGUUUCACUGAAGUGUUUGUGGGACUCAGGCACUGGAAACAUUUCCCCAAUUGUAGAACUGUGGGGAAUGGCUGCAACAGCUCUUCCUCUCUCUUGCUGCAGGCACCAUCGAUAAGGUCGCCUGGGCCGCAACGCCACCUCAACUUUACCUCCUGUUGGCACCAGACUACCAAUGGAAAUGUACCAUCGCUAAAGCCCGAGCAAGAACAGGUGGGAUAACAACUUUACAGUGAGAAGAGUCCGCUCCCUGCGUGGUCGAUUUCUUAUAGAGUACAUAAUCUAAUUGGAAGAUUGGAUUGAUGGUGCAACUACUCGGCCGCGCGAUCCUUCAUACCGUACAGCGCCACGGUCACUAUUCUGCCUGGAUAUUUUAACUGCUGCAUCUAGGAGCCUCUGCGCUUGCCAAUCAAUUGGUACAGUGGAACGGAGCAAGGCAGCAAUAGCGUGGAGAUCAGGCGUCUCUCUCUCUCUCUCUCUCUCUCUCUCUCUCUCUCUCUCUCUCUCUCUCUCUAUCUCUAUCUCUAUCUCUCCCUCUCUCUCUC